UGCAUCUAGUCAAUUUGGGCGGUUAUCUGAUGAAUAAACUAAAACCCAACGGUCCUACAUCUUCCGGAAUUUCAGCCAUGACAUGAGAACGUGCCCACUCAAAUCAUGAAACUCAGAGAUGAGAAAACACUAACAAUUGAAAAAUUAAAAUAUACAUUUAACUAUAAAUACACAAUUAAAAAAUUGAAGAAAGCAACUACCAUUGAGAGAACCAAACUGUAGAAAAACAAAGACCAUUGAGAGAACCAAACUGUAGAAAAACAAAGGAAUUUGAAAGGCGGUGAUUCAUUGCAAGGAGAGACAGAUAGAAUAUGAAUCAAUGUUCAGUUCGGAGGAGUUAUCUAAUCACUACUUCUCAAGAAUUGCUACAAAUCAUUGUAAAGAGAAAGAGAAAUUCUAUUUCGACCAUAUUUGAUGAGAACGGAAAAAUAGUCGUAUGAGAGUUUUUUGGAGACAAAGAAGUCUUCUGUUACGUUAAUUUCAAACUUGAAGCUACAAAUUUUCAGAUUUGGAGGCUGGCAUGGUGGUGUGUUGGUGCUGGCGACUUGUGAGGUGACACUCAAUGUCACAAGAGGAGAAUAAAUGAAAUCAAAUACAAAAAUGUUCAUUACCUCGGUAUAGUAAUAGAGGUUGUUGCAUCAUUAAUGGAAAGAUUCUUGGAACUUUUUGGUGUGGAGAAGUCCUCUAAGGUCGUUCUUCCAACUGAAAAUGGUGGAUGCUUGGGUUCUGGAAGGGCCAUUGCGUCACUUGCCAACAUUACAACAACAUCAGACAUUGUUGGUCUAUCUUUUGCAUCUUCUUGAACACACAACAAACCAAUCUGGUCUAAUAGAACAUUGCUAGCUUUGAGAUCUCUGUGAAUUACUUUAAGUCGAGAGUCCUCGUGAAGUUUUAUGCAGCAGCUAGAUCUCCCCUCUGACCUCCCUUGGAGCUCAGUGCAAAAUACUCAUUAGUUGGAGCCCGACUUCUAGAGAGAGGGUUGACU